rnacentral:rRNA from 1 species
UAUUGUUAGUUGCCAUCAUUCAGUUGGGCACUCUAGCGAGACUGCCGGUAAUAAACCGGAGGAAGGUGGGGAUGACGUCAAAUCAUCAUGCCCCUUAUGACCUGGGCUACACACGUGCUACAAUGGCUGGUACAACGAGUCGCAAGCCGGUGACGGCAAGCUAAUCUCUUAAAGCCAGUCUCAGUUCGGAUUGUAGGCUGCAACUCGCCUACAUGAAGUCGGAAUCGCUAGUAAUCGCGGAUCAGCACGCCGCGGUGAAUACGUUCCCGGGCCUUGUACACACCGCCCGUCACACCACGAGAGUUUGUAACACCCGAAGUCGGUGAGGUAACCGUAAGGAGCCAGCCGCCUAAGGUGGGAUAGAUGAUUGGGGUGAAGUCGUAACAAGGUAACCAAUCGAAUUCCCGCGGCC